AAUCUUGCACAAUGGGGGAAACCCUGAUGCAGCGACGCCGCGUGAGCGAUGAAGCCCUUCGGGGUGUAAAGCCCUUUCGACGGGAACGAUAAUGACGGUACCCGGAGAAGAAGCUGCGGCUAACUACGUGCCAGCAGCCGCGGUAAUACGUAGGCAGCAAGCGUUGUUCGGAAUUACUGGGCGUAAAGAGUAUGUAGGCGGUUCGCUAAGUCUGGUGUGAAAUCUCCCGGCUCAACUGGGAGGGUGCGCUAGAAACUAGCGGACUUGAGGAUGGGAGAGGAAAGCGGAAUUCCUGGUGUAGCGGUGAAAUGCGUAGAUAUCAGGAGGAACGCCCGUGGUGUAGACGGCUUUCUGGACCAUUUCUGACGCUGAGAUACGAAAGCGUGGGUAGCAAACAGG
rnacentral:rRNA from 1 species